rnacentral:rRNA from 1 species
GACGAACGCUGGCGGCGUGCCUAAUACAUGCAAGUUGAGCGCUGAAGGUUGGUACUUGUACCAACUGGAUGAGCAGCGAACGGGUGAGUAACGCGUGGGGAAUCUGCCUUUGAGCGGGGGACAACAUUUGGAAACGAAUGCUAAUACCGCAUAAAAACUUUAAACACAAGUUUUAAGUUUGAAAGAUGCAAUUGCAUCACUCAAAGAUGAUCCCGCGUUGUAUUAGCUAGUUGGUGAGGUAAAGGCUCACCAAGGCGAUGAUACAUAGCCGACCUGAGGGGGUGAGCGGCCACAUUGGGACUGAGACACGGCCCAAACGCCUACGGGAGGCAGCAGUAGGGAAUCUUCGGCAAUGGACGAAAGUCUGACCGAGCAACGCCGCGUGAGUGAAGAAGGUUUUCGGAUCGUAAAACUCUGUUGGUAGAGAAGAACGUUGGUGAGAGUGGAAAGCUCAUCAAGUGACGGUAACUACCCAGAAAGGGACGGCUAACUACGUG